AAAGUGAACUUUGCAGUGCAAGGAUGUGGUCAAAGUGUUUGACCGGUAGCCUGUCACAAAUGCGAGCAGCAGCCCUUCAGAACAUUGACCCAUUACAGGCCCAGUCUUUGCAAGACAGAGUUCCUGUUCGGUGUGACAGUGAAGGGAACGGGGCAUGAUGGAUCGGAUUUGUCAGACGAAGAAUGCACGUGACCAUGGCUGUUACAGGAAUGAGUUUCAUUUGUUUAUUUAACUCGGGUAUUUUCGAGUUCCUUUUAUAAAAAAAUAACUAUACACAAUGUCUUAGAAGCGGUUUCUAAUGGAACGAAUGCGAAGUCGUGUUUUACGCGCUCUGCAGAACUUGGGCUUGAACUUGACUUUUAAAGGGGAGCUCUCGGGGGGGAACGCCCCGACUUAAAAAUUGGAAUAAAUACGUUUCGAAG